GACGAACGCUGGCGGCGCGCUUAACACAUGCAAGUCGAGCGAAGCGGCGGACGGGUGAGUAACACGUGAGUAACCUGCCUUAGACAUUGGGAUAGCCUCGGGAAACCGGGAUUAAUACCAAAUGGUCUAAGAUGGACUCGCGUCCCAUUAGCUAGGUGGUGAGUAACGGCCCACCAAGGCGACGACGGGUAGCCGGCCUGAGAGGGGGAGCGGCCAAAUUGGGACUGAGAUACGGCCCAGACUCUACGGGGGGCAGCAGUGGGGGAUAGUGCACAAUGGGCGAAAGCGUGAUGCAGCGACGCCGCGUGGGGGAGGAAGGCCUUCGGGUUGUAAACUCCUUUCGACAGGGACGCGGUACUUAACCAGAAAGGGACGGCUAACUACGUGCCAGCAGCCGCGGUAAUUC
rnacentral:rRNA from 1 species